rnacentral:rRNA from 1 species
UUUGACAUCCAGAGAAUUUAGCAGAGAUGCUUUAGUGCCUUCGGGAACUCUGAGACAGGUGCUGCAUGGCUGUCGUCAGCUCGUGUUGUGAAAUGUUGGGUUAACGUCCGCAACGAGCGCAACCCUUAUCCUUUGUUGCCAGCACGUAAUGGUGGGAACUCAAAGGAGACUGCCGGUGAUAAACCGGAGGAAGGUGGGGAUGACGUCAAGUCAUCAUGGCCCUUACGAGUAGGGCUACACACGUGCUACAAUGGCGUAUACAAAGAGAAGCGACCUCGCGAGAGCAAGCGGACCUCAUAAAGUGCGUCGUAGUCCGGAUUGGAGUCUGCAACUCGACUCCAUGAAGUCGGAAUCGCUAGUAAUCGUAAAUCAGAAUGUUACGGUGAAUACGUUCCCGGGCCUUGUACACACCGCCCGUCACACCAUGGGAGUGGGUUGCAAAAGAAGUAGAUAGCUUAACCUUCGGGAGGGCGUUUACCACUUUGUGAUUCAUGACUGGGGUGAAGUCGUAACAAGGUAAGCGUAGUGCU